AAAGGAAUUGACGGGGACCCGCACAAGCGGUGGAUUAUGUGGUUUAAUUCGACGCAACGCGAAGAACCUUACCAAGCCUUGACAUCCCGAGCGAAGCUAUAGAGAUAUAGUGGAGGUUACCUCGGAGACAGGUGGUGCAUGGUUGUCGUCAGCUCGUGUCGUGAGAUGUUGGGUUAAGUCCCGCAACGAGCGCAACCCUUGUUUUCAGUUACCAGCAUUAAGUUGGGGACUCUGGAGAGACUGCCGGUGACAAACCGGAGGAAGGUGGGGAUGACGUCAAAUCAGCAUGCCCCUUAUGGCUUGGGCUACACACGUAAUACAAUGGCGUAUACAAAGGGAAGCGAACCCGCGAGGGGAAGCAAAUCUCAUAAAGUACGUCUCAGUUCGGAUUAGAGUCUGCAACUCGACUCUAUGAAGUUGGAAUCGCUAGUAAUCGUAGAUCAGCACGCUACGGUGAAUACGUUCUCGGGUCUUGUACACACCGCCCGU
rnacentral:rRNA from 1 species